AUUGAACGCUGGCGGCAUGCUUUACACAUGCAAGUCGAGCGGCAGCGCGGGGGCAACCCUGGCGGCGAGCGGCGAACGGGUGAGUAAUACAUCGGAACGUACCCCGUAGUGGGGGAUAACUCAGCGAAAGCUGGGCUAAUACCGCAUAUGCUCUACGGAGGAAAGUGGGGGACCGCUCGGGCAACUGAGGGGCCUCACGCUAUGGGAGCGGCCGAUGUCCGAUUAGCUUGUUGGUGAGGUAAAGGCUCACCAAGGCGAUGAUCGGUAGCUGGUCUGAGAGGAUGAUCAGCCACACUGGGACUGAGACACGGCCCAGACUCCUACGGGAGGCUG
rnacentral:rRNA from 1 species